AUGAUUUCUUAUGAUUACAUAGAAAAAGAAAUAGAAUUAAAGCAAAGCUUGCAGGAGACAAAAACAACACACACACAACCAGAUUUAUUUUAUUGACAUUCAAGUCUACUUUUGGGCCUAGAUGUCGCUUGAGUGAUUCAUUUUAAAAAUAACUUUAUUUAUUAUUACUGUUAAACUUAAAUCUCCAGCAUGGGGAAGUGGAAUGAGCUCGGGUUUUCUUGACUAUAUAUACCUCAUUCAGGUGAAA